rnacentral:rRNA from 1 species
GGUUAAGUGACUAAGCGUACAGGGCGGAUGCCUUGGCAAUCAGAGGCGAAGAAGGACGUGCUAAUCUGCGAAAAGCUUGGAUGAGUCGAUAAGAGGCGUUUAAUCCAAGAUGUCCGAAUGGGGAAACCCGAUGGAUGAAGAAUCCAUCAUUUCAUUGUGAAUACAUAGCAAUGAAAGGCGAACCGGGAGAACUGAAACAUCUAAGUACCCCGAGGAAAAGAAAUCAACCGAGAUUCUGUGAGUAGCGGCGAGCGAAAGCGGAAGAGCCAGUAAGUUUUAGCUAGUGUAUUAGAGGAAUUGGCUGGGAAGCCAAAUCAAAGAGGGUGAUAAUCCCGUACUCGAAAAUACGAUAGUGGAACUAAGCUUACGAUAAGUAGGGCGGGACACGAGAAAUCCUGUUUGAAGAUGGGGGGACCAUCCUCCAAGGCUAAAUACUCCUGAUUGACCGAUAGUGAACCAGUACUGUGAAGGAAAGGCGAAAAGAACCCCGGUGAGGGGAGUGAAAUAGAACCUGAAACCCUGUACGUACAAGCAGUAGGAGCGAGGGCAACCUUGUGACUGCGUACCUUUUGUAUAAUGGGUCAGCGACUUAUAUUUUGUAGCGAGGUUAACUGAAUAAGGGAGCCGAAGGGAAACCGAGUCUUAACUGGGCGUUGAGUUGCAAGGUAUAGACCCGAAACCCGGUGAUCUAGCCAUGGGCAGGUUGAAGGUUGGGUAACACUAACUGGAGGACCGAACCGACUAAUGUUGAAAAAUUAGCGGAUGACUUGUGGCUGGGGGUGAAAGGCCAAUCAAACCGGGAGAUAGCUGGUUCUCCCCGAAAUCUAUUUAGGUAGAGCCUUGAGCGGACACCUUCGGGGGUAGAGCACUGUUUCGGCUAGGGGUCCAUCCCGGAUUACCAACCCGAUGCAAACUGCGAAUACCGAAGAGUGAUACUCAGGAGACACACGGCGGGUGCUAACGUUCGUCGUGGAGAGGGAAACAACCCAGACCGCCAGCUAAGGUCCCAAAGUCUAUAUUAAGUGGGAAACGAAGUGGGAAGGCUUAGACAGCUAGGAUGUUGGCUUAGAAGCAGCCAUCAUUUAAAGAAAGCGUAAUAGCUCACUAGUCGAGUCGGCCUGCGCGGAAGAUGUAACGGGGCUCAAAUAUAGCACCGAAGCUGCGGCAUCAGAAUUUAUUCUGUUGGGUAGGGGAGCGUUGUGUAAGCGGAAGAAGGUGGCUCGAGAGGGUUGCUGGACGUAUCACAAGUGCGAAUGCUGACAUAAGUAACGAUAAAACGAGUGAAAAACUCGUUCGCCGGAAGACCAAGGGUUCCUGUCCAACGUUAAUCGGGGCAGGGUGAGUCGGCCCCUAAGGCGAGGCUGAAAAGCGUAGUCGAUGGGAAACGGGUUAAUAUUCCCGUACUUGGUAAAGCUGCGAUGUGGGGACGGAGAAGGUUAGGUAAGCGGACUGUUGGAAAUGUCCGUUUAAGUUGGUAGUUGGGAGCGGUAGGCAAAUCCGCUGCUCCAUUCAACAACGAGAGAUGAUGACGAGUUCCUAAGGGAAUGAAGUUACCGAUACCCGGCUUCCAGGAAAAGCCACUAAGCGAAAGGCUUUAUUAAACCGUACUGAAAACCGACACAGGUGGUCAGGUAGAGAAUACUCAGGCGCUUGAGAGAACUCGGGUGAAGGAACUAGGCAAAAUAGCACCGUAACUUCGGGAGAAGGUGCGCUUACAGUAAUUGUAGUCCCUCGCGGAUGAAGGUGAAGUAAGUCGAAGAUACCAGCUGGCUGCAACUGUUUAUUAAAAACACAGCACUCUGCAAACACGAAAGUGGACGUAUAGGGUGUGAUGCCUGCCCGGUGCUGGAAGGUUAAUUGAUGGUGUUAUCGAAAGAGAAGCUCCUGAUCGAAGCCCCAGUAAACGGCGGCCGUAACUAUAACGGUCCUAAGGUAGCGAAAUUCCUUGUCGGGUAAGUUCCGACCUGCACGAAUGGCAUAAUGAUGGCCAGGCUGUCUCCACCCGAGACUCAGUGAAAUUGAAAUCGCCGUGAAGAUGCGGUGUACCCGCGGCUAGACGGAAAGACCCCGUGAACCUUUACUAUAGCUUGACACUGAACAUUGAAUUUUGAUGUGUAGGAUAGGUGGGAGCCUUUGAAGCAGUGACGCCAGUCAUUGUGGAGGCGACCUUGAAAUACCACCCUUUAACGUUUGAUGUUCUAACGAAGUGCCUGAAACGGGUACUCGGACAGUGUCUGGUGGGUAGUUUGACUGGGGCGGUCUCCUCCCAAAGCGUAACGGAGGAGCACGAAGGUUUGCUAAUGACGGUCGGACAUCGUCAGGUUAGUGCAAUGGUAUAAGCAAGCUUAACUGCGAGACGGACAAGUCGAGCAGGUGCGAAAGCAGGUCAUAGUGAUCCGGUGGUUCUGAAUGGAAGGGCCAUCGCUCAACGGAUAAAAGGUACUCCGGGGAUAACAGGCUGAUACCGCCCAAGAGUUCAUAUCGACGGCGGUGUUUGGCACCUCGAUGUCGGCUCAUCACAUCCUGGGGCUGAAGUAGGUCCCAAGGGUAUGGCUGUUCGCCAUUUAAAGUGGUACGCGAGCUGGGUUUAGAACGUCGUGAGACAGUUCGGUCCCUAUCUGCCGUGGGCGUUGGAUGAUUGAUUGGGGCUGCUCCUAGUACGAGAGGACCGGAGUGGACGCAUCACUGGUGUUCCAGUUGUCUCGCCAGAGGCAUUGCUGGGUAGCUAAAUGCGGAAGAGAUAAGUGCUGAAAGCAUCUAAGCACGAAACUUGCCAAGAGAUGAGUCAUCCCUGACUUUAAGUCAGUAAGGGUUGUUUAAGACUAAGACGUAGAUAGGUUGGGUGUGUAAGUGUAGUGAUACAUUGAGCUAACCAAUACUAAUUGCCCGAGAGGCUUAACCAU